CCUACGGGAGGCAGCAGUGGGGAAUUUUGGACAAUGGGCGCAAGCCUGAUCCAGCCAUGCCGCGUGUGGGAAGAAGGCCUUCGGGUUGUAAACCACUUUUGUCAGGGAAGAAACGGCCUUUACUAAUAUUAGGGGCUAAUGACGGUACCUGAAGAAUAAGCACCGGCUAACUACGUGCCAGCAGCCGCGGUAAUACGUAGGGUGCAAGCGUUAAUCGGAAUUACUGGGCGUAAAGCGUGCGCAGGCGGCUUUGCAAGACAGAUGUGAAAUCCCCGGGCUCAACCUGGGAACUGCAUUUGUGACUGCAUGGCUAGAGUACGGUAGAGGGGGAUGGAAUUCCGCGUGUAGCAGUGAAAUGCGUAGAUAUGCGGAGGAACACCGAUGGCGAAGGCAAUCCCCUGGACCUGUACUGACGCUCAUGCACGAAAGCGUGGGGAGCAAACAGGAUUAGAUACCCUGGUAGUCCACGCCCUAAACGAUGUCAACUGGUUGUUGGACGGCUUGCUGUUCAGUACGAAGCUAACGCGUGAAGUUGACCGCCUGGGGAGUACGGCCGCAAGGUUGAAACUUAAAGGAAUUGACGG
rnacentral:rRNA from 1 species